rnacentral:rRNA from 1 species
AUUGAACGCUGGCGGCAUGCCUUACACAUGCAAGUCGGACGGUAACAGGUCUUCGGAUGCUGACGAGUGGCGAACGGGUGAGUAAUACAUCGGAACGUGCCUAGUAGUGGGGGAUAACUACUCGAAAGAGUGGCUAAUACCGCAUGAGAUCUACGGAUGAAAGCAGGGGAUCGCAAGACCUUGUGCUACUAGAGCGGCCGAUGGCAGAUUAGGUAGUUGGUGGGAUAAAAGCUUACCAAGCCGACGAUCUGUAGCUGGUCUGAGAGGACGAUCAGCCACACUGGGACUGAGACACGGCCCAGACUCCUACGGGAGGCAGCAGUGGGGAAUUUUGGACAAUGGGCGAAAGCCUGAUCCAGCAAUGCCGCGCGCAGGAUGAAGGCCUUCGGGUUGUAAACUGCUUUUGUACGGAACGAAAAGCCCCGGGUUAAUACCCUGGGGUCAUGACGGUACCGUAAGAAUAAGCACCGGCUAACUACGUGCCAGCAGCCGCGGUAA